GUGGGGAAUCUUGCGCAAUGUGCGAAAGCCUGACGCAGCCAUGCCGCGUGAAUGAUGAAGGUCUUAGGAUUGUAAAAUUCUUUCACCGGGGACGAUAAUGACGGUACCCGGAGAAGAAGCUCCGGCUAACUUCGUGUCAGCAGCCGCGGUAAUACGAAGGGGGCUAGCGUUGCUCGGAAUUACUGGGCGUAAAGGGCGCGUAGGCGGACAGCUUAGUCAGAGGUGAAAGCCCAGGGCUCAACCUUGGAAUUGCCUUUGAUACUGGCUGUCUUGAGUUUGGGAGAGGUGAGUGGAACUCCGAGUGUAGAGGUGAAAUUCGUAGAUAUUCGGAAGAACACCAGUGGCGAAGGCGACUCACUGGCCCAAUACUGACGCUGAGGCGCGAAAGCGUGGGGAGCAAACAGGAUUAGAAACCCCAGUAGUCC
rnacentral:rRNA from 1 species